GAUGAAGAACGCAGCGAAAUGCGAUAAGUAAUGUGAAUUGCAGAAUUCAGUGAAUCAUCGAAUCUUUGAACGCACAUUGCGCCCCUUGGUAUUCCGGGGGGCAUGCCUGUUCGAGCGUCAUUAUAACCCCUCAAGCUCAGCUUGGUGUUGGGGCCUGCCAACUGGCAGCCCUUAAAAUCAGUGGCGGCGCCAUCUGGCUCUAAGCGUAGUAAUUUCUCUCGCUAUAGGGUCCCGGUGGAUGCUUGCCAACAACCCCCAAUUUUCUAUGGUUAACCUCGGAUCAGGUAGGGAUACCCGCUGAACUUAAGCAUAUCAAUAAGCGGAGGA
rnacentral:misc_RNA from 1 species